AUCCYGUGAGCAUGAAAUGCCCCAUACUUCAAGAUUGCUGGGACUACAUGGAUGCUGGACCCCAUGCCCUGUGGUGGACAUUCCAUCUAAGUCUGACUACAAUACCUCUCCCUGAGAAGUUGCCUGGAACACUUGGACCCUCAGCCCCCAACACAGAUCUCAUAAAAGAACCAGGAGCCAGAGGGUUCUCACUCUAACCCCUACAAAACCUGAG